AUCGCUUCUCAGCCUUUUGGCUAAGAUCAAGUGGAGAAUAGACCUUUAAGUCCACAUAAAAUGGAUUAAUUUAUCUUUUAAAAUGCCAACACUG
rnacentral:sRNA from 1 species